rnacentral:rRNA from 1 species
AGAGUUGAUCCUGGCUUAGGACGAAUGCUGGCGGCGUGCCUAACACAUGCAAGUCGAACGAAGCACUUUCUGUCUGAGAUUCGUCAAGGACAGAAUUGACUUAGUGGCGGACGGGUGAGUAAUGCGUGAGCAACCUGCCCUUCAGAGGGGGACAACAGUUGGAAACGACUGCUAAUACCGCAUGAUGUAUCCGGGAGGCAUCUUCUGGAUACCAAAGAUUUAUCGCUGAAGGAUGGGCUCACGUCUGAUUAGCUAGUUGGUGGGGUAACGGCCUACCAAGGCUGCGAUCAGUAGCCGGACUGAGAGGUUGAACGGCCACAUUGGGACUGAGAUACGGCCCAGACUCCUACGGGAGGCAGCAGUGGGGAAUAUUGGGCAAUGGGCGCAAGCCCUGACCCAGCAACGCCGCGUGAAGGAAGAAGGCCUUCGGGUUGUAAACUUCUUUUAUGAGGGACGAAGGACGUGACAGUACCUCAUGAAUAAGCCACGGCUAACUACGUGCCAGCCGCGGC